rnacentral:lncRNA from 1 species
CUCAGAACAGCCCACAGUCAGCCCCCCUGUAUGCUGGAGUGUGGGUCAAGCGGGCAGCCUUCUCCCGUCCAUGCAUUGUGGCGGGGUCAGAGAAGGUGAUGUCUCUUCCAUAUACAUAAUGGCAGUUGGAAGCAGAUGUAAAACAUGCCUAUCCCCUUCACUGUCCGACCUCACAGAGAUCAUGUGACUACACGGCAGAUCAAGACAAGUUAGAAAGCCGCCAGGACAACACAGUCUCCAAGCGAGUGACAUCAAUGAAGCUUCCUUCCCCAGCUGAUUCAUCUGCAGCAAGACGCAAGCGAUGGACUCCGUGACCAGGACAGACAGGCAGACAUGGGAUGCGGGGGAGCCAAUUAAACGUAUCAAUAGUGACGCUCCUACCACAUCAUCAGUGACUAAUGUUACCUAUAUCUGCAGCCACACUAUGUUUGAUAUGUUGCAUAAAGUUGUAAGUACAUUCUUGUAGUCCAUCAUCUGAGGUUGAUAAUGAUGGCUAUCUGUAGCUUGUAAUUGUUUCAGUGAUGUAACAUUAAAAUUAUAUUGUUACCAGAUCAUCUGUGAUAAACAAUGAAAGCUGCAGCCAUGCUAUUGAAAUAUAAGUCCAUGGAUGUUAAGUAAUUCUAUUCUCCUAAUAGGCAAAUCUCUGACAUGUGACUCAAGUCCCUUAUAGGGACAACUUGUUCUAAUUGCUUAAUCUAGAAAUAAUGAUUUAAACUGAUAAAUAUUGCCUUACAGACUUGUGCAAGUCUACCGAACUAUAUCCAUGUUUCAAUAAUGUGACAGAAAGGUUACUCUUCAACAAUCAUCUGUGAAUAACAAUGAUAUCCGCAGACAAUACUCAAAAGAAGUUAAAAAACACCUGAUGACAGAUUAACUAUAGUAAUAUGAAAUAAUAGUGUUUUUUAUCUUCUUUUGAGAUAAUAGAUUUGAUAUGCUUCAGUA